rnacentral:rRNA from 1 species
UACGUAGGGUGCAAGCGUUGUCCGGAAUUAUUGGGCGUAAAGAGCUCGUAGGUGGUUUGUCGCGUUGUUCGUGAAAACCGGGGGCUUAACCCUCGGCGUGCGGGCGAUACGGGCAGACUGGAGUACUGCAGGGGAGACUGGAAUUCCUGGUGUAGCGGUGGAAUGCGCAGAUAUCAGGAGGAACACCGGUGGCGAAGGCGGGUCUCUGGGCAGUAACUGACGCUGAGGAGCGAAAGCGUGGGGAGCGAACAGG